rfam:Cryptococcus dejecticola CBS 10117 unplaced genomic scaffold supercont1.5, whole genome shotgun sequence.
GGGGAUGUAGCUCAUUUGGCAGAGCGCGUCAUUAGCAUCUCUUCUGAAGUUGAUUUGACGAGGUACCGGGUUCAAUUCCCUGCUUCUCCA